rnacentral:rRNA from 1 species
AACGAACGCUGGCGGCAUGCCUAACACAUGCAAGUCGAACGCGACCUUCGGGACUAGUGGCUCACGGGUGCGUUACGCGUCGGAACUUGCCCUUAGGUUCGGAAUAACUCCCAGAAAGGGGUGCUAAUACCGGACAAUGUCUUCGGACCAAAGAUUUAUCGUCUUAGGAUGGGACCGCGUUGUAUUAGCCGGUUGGUAUGGUCAAAGCCUACCAAGGCGACGAUGCAUAGCUGGUCUGGGAGGAUGAUCAGCCACACUGGGACUGAGACACGGCCCGGAUUCCUACGGGAGGCAGCAGUGGAGAAUAUUGGACAAUGUGCGAGAGCCUGAGCCAUCAAUGCCGCGUGGCUGUUGAAUGCCUUAGGGUUGUAUGGCUGUUUUAGCCGAUAUGAUAGUGACAGUAGCUGGAGAAUAAGCUCGGGCUAACUCCGUG